GGUUGUGGCUCAGUGGUAAAGCUCUUACCUACCAUGUAAGAGGCACUGGGUUCAAUUCUCAGCACCA
rnacentral:tRNA from 1 species